rfam:Phialocephala subalpina strain TAMH 11012 genome assembly, contig: PAC_scaffold_071
ACAUACGACCAUAGACUAAAGAUCAUUGGGCAUCCCGUCCGCUCUGCCAUACACAAGCUUUAGAUCGGCAGAUUAGUAGUUGAGUGGGUGACCAUCAGCGAAUACCUGCUGUUGUAUGUC